CUACUACGUCUACCAUUUACUCGAUGUAAUUAAAAGCAUGGGAUAUAUCCAUGUCGGAACCAGUAGAUAGAAAACGCAGAGAGACGAAGGAAGAACGCGACGAAUUAGUUUUCAGUUUCGUGAUAUCGAGUAAUAAUAGGGUGCCGAUAAACGAUCCGUCUAAACAAGAAGAAGAAGACGACGAAGAAAAAACGGAAAAGAAAAUUUAACGCAAAGGAGAUAGAAGAAAAUUCUUAAUAGAACCAAAUUAAAUUAAAACAGUUACAAGCUCAGAAAGAAAAGAUGAAUUGGGGAAAGUGUAUCCUAGCAUUGGAAUUUUUUUUAUUGAUUUUCAUUGUAUCCGUCACAAGAGCCGACGAUCGAACAAGGGAGACGAGAAACGCAAUUAACAGGCCCGACAAUUCAAACGAUUUUGUUGCUUUUAAUAAAGAUAUUCUGGUGAAUACGAAGAAUGCUGUAAUAAUACAGGCACCUAUGAGAAGAACCGUUUGUGGAUAUGGUAAAAGAGCAGACGCUUUUGGAAGAUGUAGGACGAUGUUGUCAUUGACGUAACGAUCGAACAAAUCAUUUGAAGAUAGACAGAAGAAACUCAUCGCUCUGUUGUAAGCUCUGCCCAUCGCGUAUCUCUCGUUUAUAUCGUCAAUGCCAAAACCAUUUCUAUAGGAUGAAGAUAUUCUUGAUUCCGAACGACACGGCAGCGAGAAGAAAGCCAAUCAAACAAGCCUCGAACCGCUUCCUUAUCGAUCGAGCUGUUUCUCUCUCUUUCUCUCUCUCUCUCUCCCUUUAUCUUUGUCUAUGAUCGCCAUGAUGGUACCAAGGAGCGAAGAAGACGUUCAAAUUUUUAAAUGGAAAAUCGUCAAAGGGAAAUCACGAAGAAGAAGAAACAAUUAAAUAUCGAGUUGAAGAAGAAUGGAAAAUCGAUAGAUGCGAAUUUCCUCUCUCUCUCUCUCUCUCUCUCUUUUUCUUUCUAUUACGCGGAUAAAUAUCGUUUGAAAUUUUUUUCAUCGUGAAUGUUUUCGAAAGACGUGACUUUUUGUCAAUACAUACUUUUAUGCGUAUAAAUAUCUCUUUUUCUUUCUUUCUCUUUUUUUUUUUUUUUUUAAUUUUUUUCUCCCUUUUUUUUCGUCUUCUUAAGAAUAUUUUUAACGUAAAUAAAAUUUCGUUAGGAGAAAAUCGACACAUCGAUUUGCGUUUAAAUAUUUCCGCGUGAAAUUGUACGCAUCUACCAUACCGACGAUGAAACAUGUUGGCGUUGGAUGUAUCGCACGUUGAUAGAAAAGGUAGAGUCAACGGAGCAAUGAUAUCAGCUCUUUAGAUUAUCGUUACAUUUCACAUAUAAUUUCGCAAAAUAUAUAUAUAUAUAUAAUAUAUGUAUAUAGACGUACAUAUAUUUUAUGUAUAUAUAUAUAUAUAUAUAUAUAUAUAUAUAUAUAUAUAUCAGCGGAAAGUAUAUCAUUAAUCAUGAUUCGAAUCAGGGAUAAUUCGCAUUCGUUUACCAGUCCAACGUGAGAAGAUUAGAUUAUUUUCAAUAAUUCAACAUUUAUUAAACGACCAAGACGAAAAUAAUAUUGAUCGUAGCUCGGCCAGAAUAGUAAUAGUAGUAGGAACAGCGGCAGCGGCUGCUUUACGAUUAAGCGAUCUUAUUAUUAAAAUAAAUUAUAUGUAAUAACGUUAAUAAAAGAGUAGAUAUUAAAUGUUAUCGAAUGGCUAAACUUAGGUCAUAGUUGUAUAUAAUUUUCUCUAAUAUGUCGUUUAAUAAAUCUAAACGACUCGAGCACAGAAACUAUUAAACUACAAUCUUUCCCUAUUAAACGUAUAAAAUUGAUUUCAACUUAAUCAAGUUAUUCGAUGUAUUUUACAACCGCCGACGUCAUAAAUUAUCAUGAAAAUGAAUACAUAUGUACGUACAUUCAUUCGAUUUCCAGUUAAACAUUCCGAAACCGCAAACUGUAAUUUAUUAUAAGAAACUCUGUAACAGGAAAAAGGAAACCACGUUAGUUGGUAAUACAUGCGUCAUGUCGUAGAGAAUACGUUUAUAAUAACCGAAUGGUCAAAAAUAGUUUCCAUUGUAUUUUCGUUUUUGUGCGUGCAAGUAGCAACAACGUUGUUUAACUUCGUCAAAAAGAAUUAUCGACGAGAAAACGAGAGAUAAGAAAUAAAGAUAAGGAAAAAAUUUUUAUAAAAAAAAAAAAGCAAAAGAAAAGAUUGUUUUAUUGUCUCAUAAAAAUCGAACUAAUAUUUUAAGUAUAGCGAUAGAGGAAGAAAAUAAAAAUAAAAUAAAACGAUAAUAACGAAAAUAAUAAUAACGACACGAGAAAAAGCUAUAAAAAAAAGGAAAAGAAAAGCAUGGCACCCUUUCGUUUCUUUUUAAUCGUCAUUCUUCUGUCGUUGACGUUUUUGCUCGGGACCGAGGCUUCUCCGUUGAUAAUUCCUAUCAGAAAAAAGACUAAAACCCGUUUUCAAUGUCAGAAUGGAUAUAAAAUGGAUAUUCUCGGGAAAUGCCGACGCGUUAUAUAAAUUUCAAGGAUAAAGCAAGGAAGAGAAGGUACCAUUGGGAGCUUGAUAAUCAUAAAAGGGAGAUAUAACAUUAAAAGCGUUCGUUUAUCUUAUUCAUUAAUAAUGUAUUAUUGUAUCAAAAUGCAUAUCAAGAUCUUUACGAGUUUUUUGUUUUUCUUUUUUCUUUUUUUGUUAUCAUUGAAUUUUUCUUUCAACGAACUCCCUUUCCCUCUUUCUUGUUUGAUAAGAAUCCUCAUCGAGGUUGUUCUCUAACAUCGUUUUAAACUAUAACCAACCGUCGGAAAUAAUUCGUUCCUUUGUCUCUCUCUCUUCCUUUCUGUUUUCGUUUUCCUUCUUCUUUUUUUUUCCUUUUUCUCUUCCUUCUUUUUUUAUUUUGUUCAACCUGCAGGUGUACCUUUAAAAAACAUUUUGUAAGUUUUACUACUCUUUAUUGUGUAAAUAAUACGAACAUUACGCAAGAAGAGAGAGUACGGACGACUCGCCGAAAGACUCGUUCGUUGGUUGCCGUAUAAAGUAGAAAAUAAUUGCGCGAAAACUCGCCGUUAAGAAGACGGAAAAAUAUUUAUUAUUUUUAUUUAAAGAAGACAAAAAAAUUCUUCUUUUAUAUUUCCUUUUUUCUUUCUUUUUUCUCUCUCUCUUUCUUUCUUUCUUUUCUUAUCAGUAAAACGCAUUCGGUCAUAGAAAGAUAUAUCGUUAGCUAAAAAAGUAGAUCGACCGAGUGAUCGCCCUUAAAGUUGGUGUCAAUUUUUCUUCAUUGGAAAUCGACUUUGUUGAAGAAGGAAGAAGAAGAAGAAGAAGAAGAAGAAGAGAAGGAAGAGGAGAAGGGGGAGGAGGAGGAGGAGGAGAAGAUUGGAACGUCAAAAUGCUUUUAUAAUAUACAAUAAGCAUGUACGUAACAUAGCUGCCUUCUCGCGCAGAUAUAAGUAUUAUAGGAUACAUAGAAACUACAUCGUUCUUUAAAAGUCAUCGGAAUUGGAUUGCGUCUUUUAUAGAAGGAAAAAGAUAAAUAGGAAGAAGCAAAAGAGAAGAGAAGAGAAGAGAAGAAAAGAGAAGAAAAGAAAUGGUUGUUGGGCUGUCCAUGACGAUGUAAAUUCUCUGAGAGGAGAUAAAUCGUGCACUUUUGACCUUUGUGAGAGCGAUAUGCUUUGCCGAGAGGUCGGUCAAAACUCGAAAGAUGGAAAAAGGCAGAGAAUAGAAAAGGAACGAAGAAAGAAAGAGAAAGAAAGAAAGAAAGAAAGAAAGAAAGAAAGAAAGAAAGAAAGAAAGAAAGGGAAAGAACGAACGGGAGAGAGAGAGAUAUGUAGUGCGGAGAAGCCAGUAGAAGAGUUUCGAUCGUACUCUUUCGCUUCUCGAGUGCGAGCUCUCUUCAGUAUCUUUGUUCGAGUCUGUCGUGAAUGAGACCCGGUACUCGAGUUAGAAGCGCGUUUAUUACGUUGUGUAGACGAUAAAGGCUGAACGAAUCCUUGGGUGAUCAUCGAAAGUACCAGAAAUAACCGAGCAAUCGACUCCCUCUUUCUCUCUCUUUCGGUCUGUCUGUUUAUCAAAAACUCCAACGUGG